AUCUUGAAAGACCCCCGGAGCGGGGAGACCCUCACUCAAGUCUCAGGAUGACACAGCCACCCAAGAACUCACGAGAGACC
rnacentral:pre_miRNA from 14 species